rnacentral:ncRNA from 1 species
CGUGCUGGCUGAAUCAGAGAUUGGCAGCACAGUGUUUAACUUAACUCUUUAGGAGAGAAUUAUGUCUCUGAAUGCAGAAACUAAAGCAGCAAUCGUUGCAGAAUACGCUCAAGGUGAA